rnacentral:lncRNA from 1 species
AGUACAUAGAUGCGAAUAUUAUACUUGCUCGAUUAAAAUGUUGUUGACGGUAUGCAAGUAUCAUUAGUAGAGAGUUAUCUCCCUUACCCUUUACAAUAAUGGAUGAAACUGCGCGACGAUAAAGUAAAAUGCUAAUGUCAGCCAUGACAUUGUUGAUGAAAAUAUAUCAUAAUUUCUGUAUUUUACGUGUUGAAGGAAGGAAGGAUAUAUUACGAUUCUUUGACGAAACGACACCACUGGAACCACCUUGACAUCGUUGACAGCCGCCACCGCCACCGUCAGUAAGCCCACCAAAGUGUCAGCAGCGAUCGCUACCACCACCACAAACCCAAAGACCACACCCACCACUACCAGUGCCAGUGCUGCCACUACUGCCAGUGCUGCUACCGUCACACGGAGAACAACAACUUCUAACACAGAGAGACUACCAACCACUACUACUUCAAUCAACAUGCCUACCGGGAUAGUAAGAGAGUUGAACACAGGCGCACCAUCUUCUCUACCGAAAACGUCAUCAUCAUCAACAUUGUCGUCGUCAUCGAUGCUAUCUACUUUGGUCAACAAGAUCAAUGAUAUUUUCAUGGAGAUGAUUGCGGUCGUCAUUCUCGUCAUUUGCAGUAUGGUCCUUCACGUCCUCAUUUGGUUACAUAAAAGAUGUACAACUGCAUGUCGUUCACCACCAACAUCAUCGCGGACAUCGACUUCUAGGUUUUCAUCACCUGCUUCUGAUUCACACUCGGCCGAACACAUCCCCCUACAGACCUUUUCGUCUACAGCAUCUACGAUUCUGAUGUCGCCCUCAACAUCUCAAGGACAUACACCACCAUCACCACCACCACCACCAGCACCACAAGCAGAAGCAGCACAAGAACACACUCUGGUAUCAGUACAUUUACCCCCACCAAGUGUUUCAUCCACCCCACAGACAUCUUCCACUCGACAUGCCAUGCGACAAUAUCAAGAUCAAGUCAUCGAUCACCCUAUUAUACAAGGUCAAAGAAAGCAAUCCGCUUUACUGACGUAUAAUGAAGUGGGAAAAGAAACUUUGGACGGAUUAAAACUCGGACUACUCAUUAAAACUCGGACUAGACUACUCAUUAAAACUCGGGACUACUCAGUAACUGUGAUCAGUGACGAUGUGAUUUUUUGUCUAUUUUAUUGUUUUGUUUUUUGGGUUUGUUUUGUUGUUUUACCUUACAUGUAUAUCGUACAACUAUAAUAAUAAUAAUAAUAACGAAUCUUGGCUGUCAUGGGUGAUGCGGAGAGUGUGAUUGUAAUUUUGGAAAUUUUGAUGUUUUUUAUUUUUUAAAAAUAUGUAUGUUCCUUUGGUUUUUUUUUGGUUUUUGUUUUUUUUUACCUUACAUAUAUAUCGUCAACUAUAAUAAUAAUAACGAAUCUUGGCGAUCAAGGGUGAUGUGGAGAUUGUAAUUUUUGAAAUUUUUGAAACGAUGUUUUUUUAAUUUUUGAUUAUAUGUAUGUUCCUUUGGGUUUUGCUGUUUUGUUUGGUUUUUUAAAAAAAAAUUAUUAUUUUUUUUUACCUUACACGUGCAUUGCACAACUAUAAUAAUAAUAAUAAUAAUGAAUCUUGACGAUCAAGGGUGAUGCGGAUAUUUAUUUUGGAAAUUGUUUUUUAUAUAACUGAGGUAAUUUACUGUAUGCUAUACAAGACUCAGUUCAAAUCAAAGGUGCUGUGAUUAUUAUAUGUUGAUUUUUAUAUAUUAAAUCGUUUUUGUAAUGCUC